AAUGAACGCUGGCGGCGCGCCUAAUACAUGCAAGUCGAGCGAGAAGACGUAGCAAUACGUUUGUAAAGCGGCGAACGGGUGAGGAAUACACGGGUAACCUACCCUCGAGUGGGGAAUAACUAGCCGAAAGGUUAGCUAAUACCGCGUACGCUUCUUGGACUUCGGUUCAGGGAGGAAAGCGAUGCCGAGGGUAUCGCGCUCUUGGAUGGGCUCAUGUCCUAUCAGCUUGUUGGGAGGUAACGGCUCACCAAGGCUUCGACGGGUAGCUGGUCUGAGAGGACGAUCAGCCACACUGGCACUGCGACACGGGCCAAACUCCUACGGGAGGCAGCAGUAAGGAAUAUUGCGCAAUGGGCGAAAGCCUGACGCAGCGACGCCGCGUGGGGGA
rnacentral:rRNA from 1 species